GAUGAACGCUGGCGGCGUGCUUAACACAUGCAAGUCGAACGAAGCACUUUAUUUGAUUUCCUUCGGGACUGAUUAUUUUGUGACUGAGUGGCGGACGGGUGAGUAACGCGUGGGUAACCUGCCUUGUACAGGGGGAUAACAGUUGGAAACGGCUGCUAAUACCGCAUAAGCGCACAGCAUCGCAUGAUGCAGUGUGAAAAACUCCGGUGGUAUAAGAUGGACCCGCGUUGGAUUAGCUAGUGGGUGAGGUAACGGCCCACCAAGGCGACGAUCCAUAGCCGACCUGAGAGGGUGAGCGGCCACAUUGGGACUGAGACACGGCCCAAACUCCUACGGGAGGCAGCAGUGGGGAAUAUUGCACAAUGGGCGAAAGCCUGAUGCAGCGACGCCGCGUGAGCGAAGAAGUAUUUCGGGAUGUAAAGCUCUAUCAGCAGGGAAGAUAAUGACGGUACCUGACGAAGAAGCACCGGCUAAAUACGUG
rnacentral:rRNA from 1 species